rnacentral:rRNA from 1 species
GGGGAAACCCUGAUGCAGCCAUGCCGCGUGUGUGAAGAAGGCCUUCGGGUUGUAAAGCACUUUCAGCGAGGAGGAAAGGUUGGUAGCUAAUAACUGCCAGCUGUGACGUUACUCGCAGAAGAAGCACCGGCUAACUCCGUGCCAGCAGCCGCGGUAAUACGGAGGGUGCAAGCGUUAAUCGGAAUUACUGGGCGUAAAGCGCACGCAGGCGGUUGGAUAAGUUAGAUGUGAAAGCCCCGGGCUCAACCUGGGAAUUGCAUUUAAAACUGUCCAGCUAGAGUCUUGUAGAGGGGGGUAGAAUUCCAGGUGUAGCGGUGAAAUGCGUAGAGAUCUGGAGGAAUACCGGUGGCGAAGGCGGCCCCUGGACAAGACUGACGCUCAGGUGCGAAAGCGUGGGGAGCAACAGGAUUAGAUACCUGGUAGUCCACGCCGUAAACGAUGUCGAUUUGGAGGCUGUNUCCUUGAGACGUGCUUCCGGAGCUAAC